AUUAUAUCAUUAUAUCCCUUUUUCUCAGAAGGUAGCACUGUUCCAGGCGUCUUUUCAGAGGAUCAUCGGGUAUCCUGAACCAGGAGAAUGUGGCUCUCAGACGUCUCACUGGGACUGCAAAGGUGCUGAGUUUCAAAGGAAGAAUAGGAUGUGUCAUCACCCCCACCAGCUAACCCCAGUCCACUGUCGGCUCAGAGGACAGACGUUAUCAGGAAGAAACAGCCUGUUUGGAAGGAAUCAGUGAAAGACAGCAUUGGCAUUUAGAUCUGCGUGGCAAUCGGGAAGCCACAUGUGAACCGCAUUUCCUUCCUGGCAGUGUCUCCUGCCUACCGCCCCCAAACUGAUCUUACUCUAGUCCCGUGUUUCCUGCGUCAGAACAAUUACUCAGAACUCUCAGUGAUUCCCCACUGCCAGAAGGAUUCUCGGUCUCAAACCCACCUUUCCAACCUCGAGUCCUGCAUGAAUCCUUUGUUCCCAGUUGCCAGGUCUCCUCAUCUUCUGCCAAACCCUCCCCUGCGUUGCUGUUUGCUCAUAUCAUUCUGCCAGCUUGGAGUAUGAUUUUCCUAGCCUUCACGUUUUCUCUCCUUCGAAGAUAAACUAGUACAAAUCCCACCGUCUUCACUGAGCACCCAAAUCACCUCAAGAUUCCUUUCUUUGACUCCCAUCUCUUCAUUGUCUGCCUCACUUACUUUUCACAGAAUAUACAGUGCGUGCGCAAAGAUGAAAGUGUCACAUUUUCUUGUAUGUAUAUUCUUCUCCCCUUUCCUGCUACUCACGUGCAUUUAUUUUGGGGGUGAGGGAUGAAUGGAACUGGGUUUUGAAGGAUCCCUGAUCCCCUUCCCAACUCCCCACACAAUCAAACGAUAACUUCCAAUAGGGAUGACAAGAAAUGAAACAGCCUUUUAAAAAUAUCG